rnacentral:rRNA from 1 species
GACGAACGCUGGCGGCGUGCUUAACACAUGCAAGUCGAACGGAAAGGCCCUGCUUUUGUGGGGUGCUCGAGUGGCGAGCGGGUGAGUAACACAUGAGUAACCUGUCCUUAUCUUUGGGAUAACUUCAGGAGACUCGGGCUCAUACAGGGUAGGAGCUUCUGCUGCAUGGUGGGCGAUGGUAAGUUUCGGCGGUUGGGGCUGGACUCGAGGCUUAUCAGCUUCAUGGUGGGGUAGUGGCUUACCAAGGCUACGACGGAUAGCCGGCAUGAGAGGCUGACCAGGCUCAUUGGUACUAAGAUAGGGCCCAGUCUGCAACGGUAGGCAACAGUGGAGAGUAUUGCGGAAUGGGCCGAAGCCUGUGGUAACAGCGCCGCGAGCGUGAUGACGUGUUAUGGGUUGAAAACCUAUUUCGCCUUUGACGUAGCGUGAGUGACGGUAAUUGGUAAAGAAGCACCGGCUAACUACGUG